AUGUAUGACACGUGACUAACAAUGGUGUGUGACAAAAUGGUGGUGGUUAACAGUAGGAUAUUUAGAGAGUGGGAAUUAGGUCCGGAAGUAGACCCGAAUUCCAGAACGUCUCAAUCUUCUUGAGGCAUUUCUGUAACACUUCCAUGGCUGCGGUUCAAUAACAAGCAUUUGGGUAUACGAGCAAAUGUCUUCCAAGAAUUUAACAAGACCCUCGUCGCCGUGAUUUAAAUGAAUCCACAUUGUGAUAGAAAAACAAAAUAUAACAUCAAAUUUAUCUCUAUCAAAUUUUUUCAAGUAAUUUUGAAUAAUAUCAUUUCUAUUUUGAGAUAACACAAAAUCUAGGUAUUCAAAAGUAAUCGAUUGAUUAAAAUUAUUUUCACGUGCCCGUUGUAUUAAAAUGGGAUCGAGGUCAAUACCCAGUAAAUUUAUAUCUGUAUUUACUGUCAGAUUAUCUUGAAGAAAUUUACGCAGUUCGAUAAUACAAAAUAAAUAUUAAAAAAAAAGAGCGAGACACUGUAAGACCUUGAAGAUAAAUCAGUGGCUGCAAAAAGAGGGUUCUUUAUUUAUAGACAAGAUUGAUCCACAGACGGCAUGUUUCAAAAAAUUUAUAAAAAGGGACCGUCGUCAUCAUCAUCCUUGUCGUUGUCUCGUAAACUGGGUCUCUGCGGCGAAGUAAAACACCCAAGUUGAAAGAAAGAAAGAAAGAAGGGCUCGAAUAUCCAGUGAAAUAGUCCAGGUCCAGGCUCUAUUUUUAAUACACGACCACGAGCCGCCUCUGGAAGUGGUAACAGACACAUUACAUACCAGUCAGUCAGUCAGUCAGUCAUUUAGUUUAGGAUGUGGUGCUGGGUAUGGCGCGUGCGUAUGCUAUAUUGAGUAAAGAAAGAAAGAAAGAAAGGAAAUAAGUAAAGCGGGAAUGAGCAAAUGACUAAUUCCUGUCUAAUCUAAAUUUAGUAAAAAGAGUAUAAUACUACUCUGUUUUAAUGGUAGUAUAUAUGGAAUCAGGAUGCUGCGUACUUGGUGCAACCCAGCCUCUUCCGUCCGGUUGCAGCUGCUAGCUCUAGUAUAUACAUAUAUUUAUAAAAAUCAACUAACAAGCCUGUUGAUGAUGAGACUAAUUCUUUACUUUACUUUAUCCUCCAUAAUACUCUGUAUCCUCAACUCACCCCGGCGUUGCAGCCGACAUCCAGCGCGAUAUAUUUCCGGUCCGGAUGUUGAGAGAACCACACGCCUUGCGGAAGUUGACAGAUACGUUCGUUUGCCGGGUGAAAUUUGUAAUAAUUGAUAAAAUUUCCAUGCCGACUAGCACCCGGAUCUCCAUCACCACCAGCUUCAUUAUUUCCUUUCAUCUUUUAUUAGUAUUAAUUAUUAAUAAAAUAAUAAUAUUUAAAUUAAAAUGACCUGUAAUGAAUAUGUAUAAAUGCAUAAUUUACAGUGUUAUGAUAAAUAAUGGCGAUUAACAAUUAAAAUUGCAACAAAUACCAGAUGGCUAAAUGUGUUGGGACAUAGACGGGAACGGCGAGGCAGCCAUACAACGCAGAGGCAAGUGAAUGAGUCGAAAGAAAUCCAAUGAACAUGUGAGUUGGCAACUGGUGCUGCCGACUGCCGAGAAACGCGGUAAAUUUAAGCUUGCAACAUACCUACGUCGACCCUCAAAGCAGUUGUGACGGACGCGUGUAGUCUAGAGUCUAGAGUUCUCAACUUAUUGCUUGAACUGAUCAGACUAAGACCUCCAACUAUGCCCAGUGGAACACUGAACCGCAACUCUGGUGAUGCAGAGUAUGGUUACAUGUUGGGUGGGAGAAGGAUUUGCCAACAGCGGAAGGAUCGCGGGAUAAUUCGCGAGUGUCCACGACCUAGAUUGCCGCUGUAUACUGGCCUUCUAAAUGGUCCUUGGGGUCAUGGUGGGCUUUAGAAAUCACCACCAAUGUACCUUCAGAGUCACAUUACGUAGACCAUAGACAAUGACCUGAUGAUGCUUGAAAAAAAGGAUCUAUAUCUUAUUUCACUUGAUAUAUUUUAACGGUCUCUACCCGUAUCCACAUCCAAGUCUACCGUCAUAUCGAAUUCUUUCUGUUCUCUCCCAACUCAGUCCUUCAGUUUCUCAAAAAUAAAAAAGAUAAAACCAAAAGAAUAAAAAAAACUCAAAUAAAAGGUAUAUCAGAGAGCACGCGUGUCUACACGUGAGUCUAUCGAACACGUAGUAAUCAGAGAGAUGAAGCAGAAAACCAAAGGCAGGUGCUGGACACACCGGUCCUUUCUUUCUCUCCCAUAUAAUAAAAUGCAUCAACUAAAAGCCCGGAGAUACUUUGAUGUGAUGCGCGUGUGCCGCACCCUGAUGCUUUCUUUGGCUCUCUACAUCUUUACAGUAUACCCUUAUGCUAUUACAUUUAAUUCCUCAACUUUUUCGUCUCUCUUUUUAACUGACAGAUGGGCAGCAAUGUGAUACGCCACGCAGCUUCAAACAUUACAAAGAUAAUGAGUGAGGCUUCUUGUAAGAACGCGUGUACACCAGACUGUCAAUAACUUUUAAAAGACAGACAAAUAUUGAAUUUCCUCAUUCCUGUAUUAACGAAGAGUUUAACUGCUGCUUUACUUAUAUUACUAAAUAUCUACAUUUAUUUAAGCACGUACAUAUCUGCUAAAAUUAUACAAAAAUAUUCAACGAUAAUUUAAUCUAAAUAUUUUAUCAUAUGAUAAUACAUUUUUAAUUAUUUUUUUUAAUUUACACGCUGAAUAAAUUAAGCAAAAAAAUUUUUAAAACCAAGUUAAAUAUAAACGAAAUAAUUUAAACGGGAUGUAUUUACCAUUGAAGCUAGAACGGAAGGGUACAAUGAGUAAGAAGAAGAAGAAAACGGACAAGAAAAAGAUAAAAAAAAAAUUUUAACAUCUAAGUUUAGUUCUGUCUGUAAUAAACUUCCGGGAGCCAGCAUAAGGUGACCAACAUCCUGGGCUUUGAUGAUUUGUGUUUUACUCUGAGUAAAUCCAACCUUUCCGGAUUUUAGUCUGGCUUUUACUUUAAUACUUUAUUAUAAUAGCAAUCGGAUUGAGCGUAGAAGAUUCGGUUGUUACAGGCAGGUACAUGCGGAUAGUCAGUAUUUUUGUGAAUAAAAUAUUCUUAUUCUGCCGGUGGUCCGGAUGCUUUGGUUGUCAUUGAAAUACAUUGAAAUAGUCGUUUAGACAUAACGGCGCUUGGUGGUGGUGAUGGAGACAAUUCAUUGGGUUUCCUCUUUUUGACAUAUCGAACAGAGACUUAAACGACAGCGGAUGCAGUGACAAUAGAAACUUUUGCUUACCAAAGUGAAAAGUCAGUACAGUACCCAGUAGCGGAUACGACACGUGACUUCCGGAUAUAAUCCGGAUAUAUAUUUACAUAUGUAUAUUAGGGUGCUUCGUUUGAACCGACUAUUUUUUUUUUUCGCUCCCAUCCCGAAAUUUUGUUGGAAGUACUCAAAAAAAAAUUCCCUGAGAGUUUGAGCCCUUAAAAUUAAUAUUAAGUACUCGAACACAGCGUGUGAAGAUUU